GAUGAACGCUGGCGGCGUGCCUAAUACAUGCAAGUCGAGCGAACAGAUGAGGAGCUUGCUCCUCUGACGUUAGCGGCGGACGGGUGAGUAACACGUGGAUAACCUACCUAUAAGACUGGGAUAACUUCGGGAAACCGGAGCUAAUACCGGAUAAUAUAUUGAACCGCAUGGUUCAAUAGUGAAAGACGGUUUUGCUGUCACUUAUAGAUGGAUCCGCGCCGCAUUAGCUAGUUGGUAAGGUAACGGCUUACCAAGGCAACGAUGCGUAGCCGACCUGAGAGGGUGAUAGCCCACACUGGAACGGAGACACGGCCCAGACUCCUAGGGGAGGAAGCAGUAGGGAAUCUUCAGCAAUGGGCGAAAGCCUGACGGAGCAACGCGGCGGGAGUGAUGAAGGUCUUCGGAUCGUAAAACUUUGUUAUUAGGGAAGAAAAAAUGUGAAAGUAACUAUGCACGUCUGGACGGUACCUAAUCAGAAAGCAACGGCUAACUACGU
rnacentral:rRNA from 1 species